rnacentral:lncRNA from 1 species
GUUUAAUAGAAGAGGUAAAAGGAAAGUGCUAUGAAGUUUCUUUCCAAUAACCUGGGUACCUGCCUCUGGUCAGACUUUGCAGAGUCCUGGAAAUCUGGAAUUUCUUUCCUUGCACAUCAAACUUCCAAUUCUCAUCUCUCUCUCUCUCUCUCUUCUCUAUAAAUACACAGAUUUGUUCUCACCUUCAGCUUCAUCAAAAACUCCCUUUCUGAGCUAACAUCACUGGUCCUCAAGCCCAAGAAAAUGGUUCACUUGUCAUCUGUUUUAUUUAGUUGCUUUCUUCCUUCAUCUUCUUCUUCUUCUUCUUCCCGAGUUGCAGAUGAUGCAGUACAAGUCUCCAGCAUGAAAGCUCCUAAUGCAGAAAAUAAACCCAAAAGCAAAUCAAAAUCAUCAACUGCUCCUAUUGUGGUUUCUUACUUCCCUAUCAACUCCUACUUGUCAAGGUUAUAGUCUAGAUAUUUGGAGCACUCACCAUGGAGCUUGUGAAAAUUGGAGGAUGAAAGGGAAAAUAGCAUUAAUUUUUUAUUCAUGAAAAUUCAUUCUGAUUUUGGGAUUUCAUCAUAUUCACAGUAGAAUAUACAAGAUAAAUUCGUUUCUAUUUAUUUGUUAUUAUUUUUCAUAAAUAAUAUUUGAUAUUUAUUUGAACAACAUAGACAGCCUGGUCAAGAAAUAAAGCUAUACAAAAAGGAAGCAUCGAACAAAAUAGUCGUCCUAAAUGAUACUAGCUAUGUCUUAAUUUGAACAACAUAGACCAAUUCCAAAUUCAUUGGAAAGUUACAAGCUCCUACGUAGACUACUAUAAAAAUGGAUUUCAGAUCAUAACUGAAAAUUAAUGUUUUAUACACUUAAAUUGUAAUACUAAAUUAAUAAUAACAAUUUGAAAUUUACUGUUAUAAUAUAGAACUAUAAUUUUUUUUUAUAAUAAGGUAUUCCACUGAAUUAACGUGGCAUUCUUCACAAACUUGUUUGUUUGGUUGCUUUCUAUUCUUAUUAUUAUCACCCUUGUCAUUGUCCGCUAGAAUUAAAUGGUAUUCAUUUCGAAUUAAAAAAAAAUAUUAAAUUAAAUUAAUUUAAAAUUUUAUUUUAAUAUUUUAUUUAUUUUCAUUUGAUUUAAUUUUUAAUUUAAAAAAUUUUAAUUAUUUAAAUUUAAUUUGAUUUUAAUUAAAAAAAAUAAAAAAAUAAAAAAUUAUUAACAAUACAAAUCGAUAAAUCAAACUCAAUUCAAUCGAAUUAAAUUGAUUUGAUUUAAUUUAAUUUUUGAUUAAAAUUAAUUUAUUUUAAUUUUUAUAAAUAUUAAAAUUUUAAUUUUAAAUUUAAUUUUAAAUCAAACCCAGCCAUCGCCACUGUUAUCAGUUAUCUUGCUGAAUCAACAUAGCAUAGCAAAAUUGCAAUGAAGUCAAAGUUGAAUGGGCCCAUAUCCGCGAAGAUGGGAAAACUGAGAGGUUUAUAUAUAUUCUAGCUCAAAAGUGGACUUACUUGCUCAACACGUUCAUUACUUUUAUAAUAAAACUAUUUUUUUAUUAAGUUAUAUAUUUAAAAUUAUUAAGUUGACUUUUUUAAAUAGCUUUAUUUAAAAAAAAUUAUUACAUAACAAGUAGAAUUAUAAUUAUAGUAAGCUCUAUAUAAAAUCUAUUAUAAUUAAUAAUUAUAAUUUAGAGUGAAUAUUUCAUCGAUUAAAUUUAAAAUUAAAUUAAAUAUAAUAAAUUUUAAAUAAAAAUAAUUUAAAUUGAACCCAUAUAAUUCAACUUGAUUUGAUUUAAUUUAAUUGAUUAAAUUUUUUAUUUUUUAUAUUAUAUUUUUAAUAUUUUUAAAAUUUAAUUAAAAUAUUUUAAUCUCAAUUAUACUCUGAUUUCUUAAUAUUAUAAAAAUAAUAUAAAAUUAUUCACUAAUUAAUUUAAUUUGAUUUUAUUAAUUUUUUUAUCAAAAUAAAAUUAAAUCAAAAUAAUUGAAUUUUUUAAAAAUGAAAAUUAAAUAAAAAAAAUAAAAAAUCAAACUAUAAUUUUAAAUUAUUUCAAUUUGAACCGGUUAUUCCAAUCAAUGAUAAAACUAGUCGUUCCAUAAAAUUUCAUUCUUGAAUAAUGAAAGUGUUGUGGAGCUUCUUGCUAAAGAUCGGAAUAUCACUGUCAUUAGUCAAAGCCUCCAUUUGGUCAGACUUGUGCAGAAUCCUCGAAACUGUAAUUUCUUUCCUUGCACAUCAAACUUCCAAUUCUCAUCUCUCUUUCUUUCUUCUCUAUAAAUACACAGAUUUCCUCUCAGCUUCAGCUUCAUCAAUCAGAAACCAUCUCCCGUUAAAUUUCUCUCUUUCGUCAGCUCAAGAAAACCUCCCUCUCUAAGCUAACUCCAUAGUUCCUCAAGACCAAGAAAAUGGUUCACUUGUCAGCUGUUUUUUUCAGUUGCUUUGUUCCUUCGUCAUCUUCUUCUUCGUCUUCCCGAGUUGCAGAUGAUGCAGCACAAGUCUCCAGCAUGAAAGUGCCUAAUGCAGAAAAUAAACCCAAAAGCAAAUCAAAGUCAUCAAGUACUCCUAUCGUGGUUUCUCACUUUCCUAUCAACUCCUACUUGUCAAGGUUAUAGUCUAUAUAUAGUUGGAGUGCUUACCAUGGCGAUUGUGAAGAUUGGAGGAGGAAAUGGAAAAUAGUAUUAAUUUGAUUCAUGAAGAAUAAUUUUCUCAGGAAAAUUCAUUCUUAAUUUUGGGAUUUCAUCAUAUUUAUGAUAUAAUAUACAAGAUAAAUUUUGUUUGUACUUAUUUGAUUAUUGUUGUGAAGAAAUAACACAGAAUAAAUCUUCAUCUGCAAAAGUAUUGGUAUCAGAACAGGAAUACAAUUUAUAGUUUUCAACUGCCUGAAUAAAAUUUUUAUUGGAAUAUAAAUUGAAACAAAUUUAAAAUUACACUAUGUUAUAAAAUUUCAUACUUCAAAAAUUUUUUUCUAACCUUUUCUUUUAAUUUUUAUUAUUGAAUUUAUAAAGGACAAAACUCGUGCG